GGCACCGUGGCUUAGCUGGCAAAGCACCUGUCUCGUAAACAGGAGAUCCUGGGUUUCAAAUCCCAGUGGAGGCUA